GACGAACGCUGGCGGCGUGCUUAAAACAUGCAAGUCGAACGGACUUCUCAUGAAGCUUGCGAUUGAGAAGUUAGUGGCGGACGGGUGAGUAACGCGUGGGCAACCUGCCCCUGAGCCCGGGAUAACAGUUCGAAAGGACUGCUAAGACCGGAUAUACUUGCGGUGAAGCAUUUCACUGCAAGGAAAGGGAACGCUCAGGGAUGGGCCCGCGUCCCAUUAGCUAGUUGGUGAGGUAACGGCCCACCAAGGCGACGAUGGGUAGCCGGCCUGAGAGGGUGAACGGCCACACUGGGACUGAGACACGGCCCAGACUCCUACGGGAGGCAGCAGUUGGGAAUCUUCGGCAAUGGGCGCAAGCCUGACCGAGCAACGCCGCGUGAGUGAUGAAGGUUUUCGGAUUGUAAAGCUCUGUCUUCCGGGACGAUAAUGACGGUACCGGAGGAGGAAGCCACGGCUAACGUACGUG
rnacentral:rRNA from 1 species